rnacentral:rRNA from 1 species
CUGGCGGCGUGCCUAACACAUGCAAGUCGAGCGAGCCAUCUGAAUGAUCCUUCGGGUGAAUUCGGGAAGCUUAGGUGGCGGACGGGCGAGUAACGCGUGAGCAACCUGCCCUUCAGAGGGGAACAACAGUUGGAAACGACUGCUAAUACCGCAUAACGUCAUUUGAGGGCAUCCUCGAAUGACCAAAGAUUUUAUCGCUGAAGGAUGGGCUCGCGUCCGAUUAGAUAGUUGGUGGGGUAACGGCCUACCAAGUCGACGAUCGGUAGCCGAAACUGAGAGGUUGAUCGGCCGCAUUGGGACUGAGACACGGUCCAGACUCCUACGGGAGGCAGCAGUGAGGAAUAUUGGUCAAUGGGCGAGAGCCUGAACCAGCCAAGUCGCGUGAGGGAAGACGGCCCUACGGGUUGUAAACCUCUUUUGUCAGGGAGCAAAGACAGGUAUGUAUACCUGGAUGAGAGUACCUGAAGAAAAAGCAUCGGCUAACUCCGUG